UGGGGAAUAUUGGACAAUGGGCGAAAGCCUGAUCCAGCCAUGCCGCGUGUGUGAAGAAGGUCUUCGGAUUGUAAAGCACUUUAAGUUGGGAGGAAGGGCAGUAAGCGAAUACCUUGCUGUUUUGACGUUACCGACAGAAUAAGCACCGGCUAACUCUGUGCCAGCAGCCGCGGUAAUACAGAGGGUGCAAGCGUUAAUCGGAAUUACUGGGCGUAAAGCGCGCGUAGGUGGUUCGUUAAGUUGAAUGUGAAAGCCCCGGGCUCAACCUGGGAACUGCAUCCAAAACUGGCGAGCUGGAGUAGGGCAGAGGGUGGUGGAGUUUCCUGUGUAGCGGUGAAAUGCGUAGAUAUAGGAAGGAGCACCAGUGGCGAAGGCGACCACCUGGGCUCAUACUGACACUGAGGUGCGAAAGCGUGGGGAGCAAACAGG
rnacentral:rRNA from 1 species